rnacentral:lncRNA from 1 species
AUGGCAUGAAGGCUUCAGAAUGAAAUAGGUUUGCUGAUUUUUGUAGUUUUUAGGUUUUUCAUUAUUUUUGUACACUUUUGGUCUUUUCAAUAUGUUCAUAUAGCACAAGUUUAUAAUUGCAUAUAUUAAAUUUGCAUAAAAUGACUUCAAUAUAGUUUGCUUUCAGGGUUUACUGGAGGCUUUUUGCUUUCGAAAACCAGAUUAUGAAAAUCAUGUUUUCUCUGUGGAGACUGGGCAAUGGGCCGGGUUUCAGUUUUGAUAGCCUCCUGUUACAGGUCUCCUUGACAUUCCCUUGGGCUAGUUCUUAUCAUUUGGCUGCUACUUCUUCCAUCAUAAUUAUCUUCUAAGGGUGGUUGGAGAGUUUGAGUCCCUACAGACCAGUACAAACCUUACAUCGGAAAACGCAGAGCUGAGGUGUGACCUUGGUGAGUUUAUCCAGAACCUUGGACUUUGCAUCCUUCUUCGGAUAGGAUUCUAAUUCUAGUGCCCCUACCUCAUUUUAGAAGUAACAGAAGAGAAGACACAGUCAAAUUCAAGCUUCAAAGGGGAGGUGUGGGCAUUAAUAUUGAAAAUAAUUGGACACAUGCUUGGCUAGUCAGAUGGAGUUUUUCCUCUGCCCUAUUUAUUUUGUACCACCAACACCCUAGAUAGAAGUUUCCCUGCAUGGGGAAUGGAGUGAAGAGAAUUCACAGGCGAGUGAGAGAACUGGAUUGUUCAGAAAUAGUAAGCCUGUACAAUUUUAUCAAGAAUUUACAGUCUAAACUGAAUUCUUAAAAGGUAUAAUGCUACUAGAAUCCUACAGCAUGCUCUGUGACCCAUAUUUCCUGCAGAAUGAUAUUUCAGUUAAUUCUACGGAGAAAUGUCUUUUAAAGC